rnacentral:rRNA from 1 species
UUCCUACGGGAGGCAGCAGUGGGGAAUAUUGCACAAUGGGCGAAAGCCUGAUGCAGCAACGCCGCGUGAGGGACGACGGCCNUUCGGGUUGUAAACCUCUUUUAGCAGGGAAGAAGCGAAAGUGACGGUACCUGCAGAAAAAGCGCCGGCUAACUACGUGCCAGCAGCCGCGGUAAUACGUAGGGCGCAAGCGUUAUCCGGAAUUAUUGGGCGUAAAGAGCUCGUAGGCGGUUUGUCGCGUCUGCUGUGAAAUCCCGAGGCUCAACCUCGGGUCUGCAGUGGGUACGGGCAGACUAGAGUGCGGUAGGGGAGAUUGGAAUUCCUGGUGUAGCGGUGGAAUGCGCAGAUAUCAGGAGGAACACCGAUGGCGAAGGCAGAUCUCUGGGCCGUAACUGACGCUGAGGAGCGAAAGGGUGGGGAGCAAACAGGCUUAGAUACCCUGGUAGUCCACCCCGUAAACGUUGGGAACUAGUUGUGGGGUCCAUUCCACGGAUUCCGUGACGCAGCUAACGCAUUAAGUUCCCCGCCUGGGGAGUACGGCCGCAAGGCUAAAACUCAAAGGAAUUGACGGGGACCCGCACAAGCGGCGGAGCAUGCGGAUUAAUUCGAUGCAACGCGAAGAACCUUACCAAGGCUUGACAUAUACGAGAACGGGCCAGAAAUGGUCAACUCUUUGGACACUCGUAAACAGGUGGUGCAUGGUUGUCGUCAGCUCGUGUCGUGAGAUGUUGGGUUAAGUCCCGCAACGAGCGCAACCCUCGUUCUAUGUUGCCAGCACGUAAUGGUGGGAACUCAUGGGAUACUGCCGGGGUCAACUCGGAGGAAGGUGGGGAUGACGUCAAAUCAUCAUGCCCCUUAUGUCUUGGGCUUCACGCAUGCUACAAUGGCCGGUACAAAGGGCUGCAAUACCGUAAGGUGGAGCGAAUCCCAAAAAGCCGGUCCCAGUUCGGAUUGAGGUCUGCAACUCGACCUCAUGAAGUCGGAGUCGCUAGUAAUCGCAGAUCAGCAACGCUGCGGUGAAUACGUUCCCGGGUCUUGUACACACCGCCCGUCAAGUCAUGAAAGUCGGUAACACCUGAAGCCGGUGGCCCAACCCUUGUGGAGGGAGCC